rnacentral:rRNA from 1 species
AUUGAACGCUGGCGGCAGGCUUAACACAUGCAAGUCGAACUAGUCGCGGACGGGUGAGUAAUGCUUGGGAAUCUAGCUUCUGGAGGGGGAUAACUACGGGAAACUGUAGCUAAUACCGCGUAACAUAGGAUGAGCCCAAGUGGGAUUCGGUAUUUGGUGAGGUAAAGGCUCACCAAGCCGACGCUCUCUAGCUGGUCUGAGAGGAUGACCAGCCACACUGGGACUGAGACACGGCCCAGACUCCUACGGGAGGCAGCAGUGGGGAAUAUUGCGCAAUGGGGGCAAGCUGAUGCAGCCAUGCCGCGUGAAUGAAGAAGGCCUUCGGGUUGUAAAGUUCUUUCGGUAGGGAGGCGUUAACUACAGAAGAAGCACCGGCUAACUCCGUGCCAGCAGCCGCGGUAAUAC